AUAUACCUGACUUGUGCGUAUGGAUUAUCAUGGUUUUGAUCCUAUAUAGUGACAGGGAACUAAAUGUUAAGCUAUUACAACAGGCCCUUUCUAGGGAAGUUGGAAGGUUUGGACUAGGUGCCCACCUGCGAGAGCGGGGUCAGAAACCUGAAGUCUUACGGCAAUUUGGGGAAGGG
rnacentral:other from 1 species